UGGGGAAUAUUGCGCAAUGGGCGAAAGCCUGACGCAGCGACGCCGCGUGGAGGAUGAAGGUCUUAGGAUUGUAAACUCCUGUCAGGUGGGAAGAAAAGAUUCAUUUCUAAUAAAUAUGAAUUAUGACGGUACCAUCAGAGGAAGCACCGGCUAACUUCGUGCCAGCAGCCGCGGUAAUACGAAGGGUGCAAGCGUUAUUCGGAAUCACUGGGCGUAAAGAGUGCGUAGACGGUAUGUUAAGUUUGUUGUUAAAGACUCUAGCCUAACUGGAGGGUUGCAAUGAAAACUGGCGUGCUAGAGGGUGAGAGAGAGAAGUGGAAUUCCUGGAGUAGCGGUAAAAUGCGUGGAUCUCAGGAGGAACACCAAUGGCGAAGGCAGCUUCUUGGCUCAUAUCUGACGUUGAGGCACGAAAGCGUGGGGAGCGAACAGGAUUAGAUACCCCCGUAGUCC
rnacentral:rRNA from 1 species